UACGUAGGGUGCAAGCGUUGUCCGGAAUUAUUGGGCGUAAAGAGCUCGUAGGCGGUCUGUCGCGUCUGCUGUGAAAACUCGGGGCUUAACUCCGGGCCUGCAGUGGGUACGGGCAGACUAGAGUGCGGUAGGGGAGACUGGAAUUCCUGGUGUAGCGGUGAAAUGCGCAGAUAUCAGGAGGAACACCGGUGGCGAAGGCGGGUCUCUGGGCCGUAACUGACGCUGAGGAGCGAAAGCGUGGGGAGCGAACAGG
rnacentral:rRNA from 1 species